rnacentral:rRNA from 1 species
CGUGGGAACGUGCCUUUAGGUUCGGAAUAACUCAGGGAAACUUGUGCUAAUACCGAAUGUGCCCUUCGGGGGAAAGAUUUAUCGCCUUUAGAGCGGCCCGCGUCUGAUUAGCUAGUUGGUGAGGUAAAGGCUCACCAAGGCGACGAUCAGUAGCUGGUCUGAGAGGAUGAUCAGCCACAUUGGGACUGAGACACGGCCCAAACUCCUACGGGAGGCAGCAGUGGGGAAUCUUGCGCAAUGGGCGAAAGCCUGACGCAGCCAUGCCGCGUGAAUGAUGAAGGUCUUAGGAUUGUAAAAUUCUUUCACCGGGGACGAUAAUGACGGUACCCGGAGAAGAAGCCCCGGCUAACUUCGUGCCAGCAGCCGCGGUAAUACGAAGGGGGCUAGCGUUGCUCGGAAUUACUGGGCGUAAAGGGAGCGUAGGCGGACAUUUAAGUCAGGGGUGAAAUCCCGGGGCCCAACCUCGGAAUUGCCUUUGAUACUGGGUGUCUUGAGUAUGAGAGAGGUGUGUGGAACUCCGAGUGUAGAGGUGAAAUUCGUAGAUAUUCGGAAGAACACCAGUGGCGAAGGCGACACACUGGCUCAUUACUGACGCUGAGGCUCGAAAGCGUGGGGAGCAAACAGGAUUAGAUACCCUGGUAGUCCACGCCGUAAACGAUGAUUGCUAGUUGUCGGGAUGCAUGCA